UACGUAGGGAGCAAGCGUUGUCCGGAAUCAUUGGGCGUAAAGCGCGCGUAGGCGGCCCGAUAAGUCCGCUGUGAAAGUCAACGGCUCAACUGUUGGAUGCCGGUGGAUACUGUCGGGCUAGAGUACGGAAGAGGCAAGUGGAAUUCCUGGUGUAGCGGUGGAAUGCGCAGAUAUCAGGAAGAACACCGAUGGCGAAGGCAGUUCUCUGGGCCGUAACUGACGCUGAGGAGCGAAAGCGUGGGGAGCGAACAGG
rnacentral:rRNA from 1 species